AGCUUUUCGAAUCCGUGCAAAGAUUUCGUCAGAAACCAACCCAUUAUGGUUGAUCAGACUUCCUAGAUAAGUGAAGUU
rnacentral:pre_miRNA from 1 species